GGGAGGCAGCAGUGGGGAAUAUUGCNCAAUGGGCGAAAGCNUGAUGCAGCGACGCCGCGUGAGGGAUGACGGCCUUCGGGUUGUAAACCUCUUUCAGCAGGGAAGAAGCGAAAGUGACGGUACCUGCAGAAGAAGCGCCGGCUAACUACGUGCCAGCAGCCGCGGUAAUACGUAGGGCGCAAGCGUUGUCCGGAAUUAUUGGGCGUAAAGAGCUCGUAGGCGGCUUGUCACGUCGGUUGUGAAAGCCCGGGGCUUAACCCCGGGUCUGCAGUCGAUACGGGCAGGCUAGAGUUCGGUAGGGGAGAUCGGAAUUCCUGGUGUAGCGGUGAAAUGCGCAGAUAUCAGGAGGAACACCGGUGGCGAAGGCGGAUCUCUGGGCCGAUACUGACGCUGAGGAGCGAAAGCGUGGGGAGCGAACAGGAUUAGAUACCCUGGUAGUCCACGCCGUAAACGGUGGGCACUAGGUGUGGGCAACAUUCCACGUUGUCCGUGCCGCAGCUAACGCAUUAAGUGCCCCGCCUGGGGAGUACGGCCGCAAGGCUAAAACUCAAAGGAAUUGACGGGGGCCCGCACAAGCGGCGGAGCAUGUGGCUUAAUUCGACGCAACGCGAAGAACCUACCAAGGCUUGACAUACACCGGAAAGCAUCAGAGAUGGUGCCCCCCUAG
rnacentral:rRNA from 1 species